UCGAGAAUUUUUCACAAUGGGGGAAACCCUGAUGGAGCGACGCCGCGUGGGGGAUGAAUGGCUUCGGCCCGUAAACCCCUGUCAUUUGCGAACAAAUGUUUACGUAUAACACAUGUAAACCUGAUAGUAGCGGAAGAGGAAGGGACGGCUAACUCUGUGCCAGCAGCCGCGGUAAUACAGAGGUCCCAAGCGUUGUUCGGAUUCACUGGGCGUAAAGGGUGCGUAGGUGGCUUGGUAAGUCUGAUGUGAAAUCUCGAAGCUUAACUUCGAAACUGCAUUGGAUACUAUUGAGCUGGAGGGUCGGAGGGGGGACUGGAAUUCUCGGUGUAGCAGUGAAAUGCGUAGAUAUCGAGAGGAACACCAGUGGCGAAGGCGAGUCCCUGGACGACUCCUGACACUGAGGCACGAAAGCUAGGGGAGCAAACAGGAUUAGAUACCCGUGUAGUCC
rnacentral:rRNA from 1 species